UGGCGGCAGGCUUACCACAUGCAAGUCGAGCGGAGUCUUCGGUCUUAGCGGCGAACGGGUGAGGAAUGCCUGGGAAUCUGCCUGUUAGUGGGGGAUAACGUUCCGAAAGGAACGCUAAUACCGCAUACGUCCUACGGGAGAAAGCAGGGGACCUUCGGGCCUUGCGCUAACAGAUGAGCCCAGGUCGGAUUAGCUAGUUGGUGGGGUAAAGGCUCACCAAGGCGACGAUCCGUAGCUGGUCUGAGAGGAUGAUCAGCCACACUGGAACUGAGACACGGUCCAGACUCCUACGGGAGGCAGCAGUGGGGAAUAUUGGACAAUGGGCGAAAGCCUGAUCCAGCCAUGCCGCGUGUGUGAAGAAGGCCUUCGGGUUGUAAAGCAC
rnacentral:rRNA from 1 species